AAUUGAGCAAUCUCAGUAGCAAGAUGGGUCGUUCAAGUUGCUGUUUGAUAAUCUUCGCUGUAACUAUAAUACUAUUGGGUACAGCUCUCGCAGCUCCACGGUCGAAAAUGCACAGGGGUAAAAGAAGCGCUCAAAUGCCGGAUAUGCCACCACCCCCUUCUCCACCAGCCGGUUUCCCUAGCCCUAUGGCGCAUUCCGUCCGAAUUGUUAGGCAAACACCUCCUCAAGGUCCUCCAGAUGGUGCUCCAAAAGACCACCCAAAUGGUCCACCGCCAUCGAUGAUUGAUCAGGAUGUCCACUUGGCCUAACGAUACAACACCAGCACUCGAAAUCAUUAUGAAAAACUCGGCUCAAAAGAAUAGAAAAGUCGUACUAAGCGUUAAGCAAUAAGUUGGUGGAAAACCGCAUAGUCAUGGAUAUAGUAUACAGAUGAACAAGGUUCAACUAAUGUGUUAUGUAUAUUUUUUAAUUUGCCCAAUAUAAUCAAUCAAUCCAAA